AACAUAUGGAGUACCAUACUCUACUACUCUUUACCCAAAGGAAAAAAAAGGACAAUAUAACCCACACAAAAAACCAUUCCCAAUUCGAACCCACGAAUCCACGAUGUAUGCGGUUCAUCAAAUCUCAUCUCCCCAAGAACGCUAAACUUAAAUUUUCAUUCCCAAUUCGAUCCCCCAAUCGAAAAUUUUAAGGGUUCCUUGCAAUCCAAAAUCGCCGAGUUUCCUUCAAUCCAAAAUCGUUGAGUUUCCUUUAAUCCAAAAUUUGUAGAGUUCAUUUGCGGUUUCGCGGUUCUUCUUGUUAAUUUGUGCUAAAAUUUGCGUUUUACAGGUUUAUCAAUUAGGAAUUUGCGAUUUGAAAGUGUGAAUUGCAGUUUAAUUGCGAUAUACUGGUUUACUUUUGUUGAAUUUGGUGUUUUUUCCCAUAAUUUAUAAAUUUUGAUAAGUUUUUCCGAUGAUUUUAGCUGAAGAUCUAACUUGAUCUAUUUUGAUUUUUGUUUUUGUUUUAAGGGGAUGCAGUCCAAUAGAAUUUUGAAGGAGCUCAAGGAGAAAGAUCCUCCUACUUCUCGGACUGAUGGAACAUCCUGAUGUUGAUACUUUGAGAGCAACUGGCUGUCCAAUCUAUAAACAAUUGUGCAUAAUAUUCUCAGAAUCUGGUAAAAGUCAAAACAGAAAUGGAUAUGUUGAGAAGCAGGGAGGAGGGUUAGAUCCUGUGAGUAACAUUACAGAGGACUGCUCAACAGAAUCAGAAGGAGUGGCUUGUGUGGGGAAUGAGAAAGAGAAGUCUCCUCCAUGUGUAGAUAACCCUCAAUCAGUCAACCGGAAGAGAGGAAGGAAGGGGCUUGAGGAUUUGAUGGCGGAUGCUAUUUCCGAGAUGGCAGCUGCAUCAAGAAUGAGGGCAGAAAUAAUUCAGCAACGCAAUCAGAUAUUUACCAUAUCCAAGUGUAUAACUGCUUUGGAUGAGUUGCAGGGCAUUGAUGAAAAGAGUUUAGACACAUUGUAUCAAGAUGAAGGUGGUGGCGUUGGUGAGCGGUGGGAAAGACAGUUUUUAUGCCAUGAUGCAAUGCAUCCAUUACGGCCAUGAGAUUGUGGCCUUGGCUAAUUUGAUGCAUGCGGAUGAUUCGAUUGAGGAAUUGGAUAGCUUUAUGUAUCAAACUCACUUUUUGGUUUUCGAACUGAAAAAGGAUUGUUGAAGAAAAUUAAAAUGAGCACCAAGUGGAUACAAAUACAAUGUCCUCGGCAAAAGAAUGUCAUGGAUUCUAGAUAUUAUGACACGAGAUACAUGAAAGAGAUUAUCGACCAUAAGCAAACUCGAAUAUUUGAAGAUUACUUUCAUGAUUGCAAUGUUCCGAAUUAUGAUCAAGGACAAAUUGAUGAAGUCAGAGCUCAAUGGACGCGUCAUGAUCUUCUCGUGUGAAUAUUAUGGUGGAUUAAUUAUGUUUUUCGACUGGAAUUUCACUAGAACGCUUUAAUUUUAGUUUAUUGGUUUGAAAUUAAAAGAAGUAUUAUAUGACAAGGAUACUUCUUUCUGUUUUCUAGUGUGUUUUUAUUCUACUGUGUAUUUAGGCACAUAUGAUUUUAAGUUAUGCAUGAGACAUCGAGACGCUUAUUUGAUAUGAUAGAAAUGAAGUUGGAUCUUAUAUAUAUUCAAUUUGAUUA